GGGAUGGGAUGGGAUGGGAUGGGAUGGGAUGGGAUGAGCUCGGAUGAGCUCGGCUCGGCUCGGCUCUCUCUGACACCGUCCCAUUGCAGCGGUGUGGGGCUGGCGCUGUGCCAGCGGCUGCUGGAGGAGGAUGGCCGCAUCCACCUGUGCAUCGCCUGCCGCAACGAGCAGAAGAGCGAAGCCACGCGGGACCUCAUCCUGGCCACCCACCCCGCCGCCCAGGUGUCCACCGUGGAGAUGGACCUGGGUAACCUGGCCUCCGUCCUGCGGGCCGCCCGUGAGCUCCGCUGCAGGUUUCAGCGCCUGGACUUUGUCUACCUCAACGCUGGGAUCAUGCCCAACCCGCACGUGAACUUCAAGGCUCUCUGGCACGGUCUCCUCACCGGGAAGGUGCUCCACAUGCUGACCACUGCAGAAGGCAUCAUGACCCAGACGGACAGGCUGAAUGGAGAUGGGCUUCAGGAGGUGUUUGCUACCAAUCUCUUUGGACACUUUAUGCUGGUUCGUCAGCUUCAGUCUCUACUCUGUGGUAACGAGAAGCCCUCACGACUCAUCUGGACCUCCUCCAGCAAUGCCAGGGAGUCUGCCUUCAGCCUCUCUGACUAUCAGCAUGCCAAGGGGCAGGAGUCAUACAGUUCCUCUAAAUAUGCUACUGACCUGACAAGUGUGGUUCUGAACAGGAAAUUUAAUGACCAGGGUCUAUAUUCCAGUGUUGUUUGUCCUGGGCUCGUUAUGUCAAACAUGACAUACAGAAUUUUGCCUGUUUUUCUGUGGAAGCUGCUGAUGCCCAUCAUGUGGUUGGAGUGGCCUUUCAUCUUAAGCUGUCCCAGUAGCAGCAGCUGAUCCUGGUGGAUCACAUUUCUCCUGGCAGCAGAGAGGCAAUGCCUUCUCAGUUGUCCUCAAAGCUGGCAGUCCUGCAGGUCCCCUCUGCCUCCUGCCAUUCCUGCCCUUGAGACGCUUCCAGAAGAGGCACCUGCAAGGUGUGUGUGGCCUGUUGCUCCUGCCUUGGGGUGAACUCUGUGUGGGACCAUGGAGUGACACUUGGUGACUUGCUGGGGGGCUCCAGAAAGCAGUUUGUGGUGGUAAAGGGAUGCUUUAGUUGGUGUGCUGUGUUACCUAUUGCCCAGUCUGAGAAGCAUUUGUACCUCUGGUAGAUUAUCUGGAGUGUUUGGGCUCCUCAGGGCUUGCCAACAAACCUUGGGCCACAGUACAAACUCUGCCAUGUCCUUCUUUUCCCCUCAGAUCCGAUUUUUUGCCAAAACUUAUACUCUGACACCCUAUAACGGAGCAGAAGCUCAUGUAAGUAGUUCAUAACUUGAUUUUAACAUUGCUUCCUUCUGAGUAGCUCUUCUGGGGUCUUGUGGCUGGAGCAAAGAGCCUCUCAGCAAGGCUGGUGGGUUGGAGCUGUACUUGACCCCCAAAUACCACACAGCAGUGAGUGUGGGGAAGCAGCUGUCCCCAGGGCUGCUCAGCCACAAGGAGCUCUAGGACCUUCAUCCAGUACCCAUAAAAUAAAUGAUUUUGGGAAAGCAUCCUGACCAGGGAGAACGAUGUGCAGCACAGGGGAUGGAGGUGGGUGAUGGGGGGCACAGCGUGACUCAAGCACAGCCAUGCUGAGCUGCUUCAGCAGAAACCUCUGUUACUCUUGGCUCAGGUGGGUCACAUCUGAAGGAGCCAGCCUUCAUGUCACAUCUUUCCCUGCUUGGUGGGAGCACCUGUGGUGUCUUCUCCCAUGCUGCUGGCAGUCAGGUCUUUCCCCACAGGCGUGGCUGGGACAGUGUGUGCUGGACUUGUACAACUUUGUGCUGUUCUUCCCAGGUGUGGCUGUUCAAACAGAAGCCAGAGUACCUGGAUUCUCUUGUCAAAUACCACAGCUGUACUUCUGGACUGGGAAGAUGCUACGUGGAGCCUCGAAAGAUGGAUGUGGAUGAAGACACUGCUGAGAAAUUUUACCAGAAGCUGUU